rnacentral:tRNA from 1 species
ACAAAAACUAACACUGAUUUCGGCUCAGUUUUCGAUAUCCCUUUAUCUUUUUGUU